rnacentral:rRNA from 1 species
GCCCCAGUAACGGCGAGUGAAGCGGCAACAGCUCAAAUUUGAAAUCUGGCUCUUUUAGAGUCCGAGUUGUAAUUUGCAGAGGGCGCUUUGGCUUUGGCAGCGGUCCAAGUUCCUUGGAACAGGACGUCACAGAGGGUGAGAAUCCCGUACGUGGUCGCUGGCUAUUGCCGUGUAAAGCCCCUUCGACGAGUCGAGUUGUUUGGGAAUGCAGCUCUAAAUGGGAGGUACAUUUCUUCUAAAGCUAAAUAUUGGCCAGAGACCGAUAGCGCACAAGUAGAGUGAUCGAAAGAUGAAAAGCACUUUGGAAAGAGAGUCAAACAGCACGUGAAAUUGUUGAAAGGGAAGCGCUUGCAGCCAGACUUGCUUGCAGUUGCUCAUCCGGGCUUUUGCCCGGUGCACUCUUCUGCAGGCAGGCCAGCAUCAGUUUGGGCGGUAAGAUAAAGGUCUCUGUCACGUACCUCUCUUCGGGGAGGCCUUAUAGGGGAGACGACAUAUUACCAGCCUGGACUGAGGUCCGCGCAUCUGCUAGGAUGCUGGCGUAAUGGCUGUAAGCGGCCCGUCUUGAAACACGGACCAAGGAGUCUAACAUCUAUGCGAGUGUUUGGGUGUCAAGCCCGAGCGCGUAAUGAAAGUGAACGGAGGUAGGAACCCGCAAGGGUGCACUAUCGACCGAUCCUGAUGUCUUCGGAAGGAUUUGAGUAAGAGCAUGGCUGUUGGGACCCGAAAGAUGGUGAACUAUGCUUGAAUAGGGUGAAGCCAGAGGAAACUCUGGUGGAGGCUCGCAGCGGUUCUGACGUGCAAAUCGAUCGUCAAAUUUGGGCAUAGGGGCGAAAGACUAAUCG